UACGUAGGUGGCAAGCGUUGUCCGGAUUUACUGGGCGUAAAGAGCGCGCAGGCGGUCGUUCAAGUCGCGUGUGAAAGCCCCCGGCUCAACUGGGGAGGGUCACGCGAUACUGAUCGACUCGAAGGCAGGAGAGGGUAGUGGAAUUCCCGGUGUAGUGGUGGAAUGCGUAGAGAUCCGGAGGAACACCAGUGGCGAAGGCGGCUGCCUGGGCCUGGCCUGACGCUGAGGCGCGAAAGCGUGGGGAGCGAACAGG
rnacentral:rRNA from 1 species